rnacentral:lncRNA from 1 species
CACUUUAUGAAAAAUGGACCCAUGCCAAAAUGAUCUCUGGAACUAAGUAGUAAUUUAAACUUGCAGAUCCUUAGGCAUCAAGGCAAAAAGGACAUUUCCAAUAAAAGAAUAUAGACUUGCUCUUUAGAUGAGAAUGACACCUGUUUCUGAAAAUAAAUUUCAAAAGGUUAUUUAUCCCAUGAAUUGUUAUUCAAAGGAUACUCGAUAAUGUGAUGGGUACUGUCAUGAGCAGUGGCUUUGUAAAAAAAAGGCAGACAUGUUUCCAUUAUAAGCCAUUUCUUAUCUGACCCAUAACACAAUGUAGAGAACACUGGGGAGGGCAUUAAAUUAAAAAAUAUAACUUCUAGAAGGUAGCAUUGCCAGGUAAGUACAGGACACCCAGUGAAAUUUGAAUUUCAGAUGAACGAAUUUUUAAUGUGUCUAAAAAUUACAUAGAACACACUUACACUAUAAUUUUUUCAUUCUUUAGUUAAAUUUAACUGGGUGCCUUGCAUUUUUAUUUGCUAAAUCUAGCAACCCAACUAGGAGGUCGAGAUUUGAGUCAUAUGUUUGAAUCACCUGGCAGCCUCCACUAUGAAAUAAUCACCACGCCUGGCAUUGCCACAGCCCUCUUUCAAUUGACCCAUACUGAUCGGAAGGUCCACAAGUUGUCAGGUCUGUCUUCACCUGCCCCACCAUCAAAUCUCAGGAGUUCUAGCUCUUAUCUCUGCAUCUCUGGGGAAAUGGGCUGGCUGACCCUUUGCAAUACUCUCAAGUUGGCACUUAGCCCUUUGGUUCCCUAAAGUCGAUGGUCAGACUUAAGAAGGAACAUUUAUUUGGUUGUCAUGGGCGAGCAAGGAUUUUACCUCCUAGGCAAGCCCCCCAGUAUUUAUCGCACUGUCUCUGCACUUGUAGUAUAUUAUUAGCCUUUUAUGCCUUCUCUGUCACCUGUUGAAAUGAGAACGCAGGGUCUCUAGGCCUCUGCAGCCUUUUCCCUUACAUUAACUUAAGUCACACCAGAUGUGGGCCUUUACUGCUUAGGAAGACUAAUUGAUUUCACUAGUCACAAUACGUCUAUUGUUUUAUUUUUUAAACACAAAUAAACACUAUGGAGGAUUUGCUCUUCCCUCUCCCUCUCUCUUCUUGCCUCAAGAGUCAAAGGGUAUUCAAUUAAAGGCAUCCAGAAAGUGUGACAAAGAAAUCCAUCGAUGCAGUACAUCUACUGUUAAAGAAAAAAAGAAAAAGAGAAGAAAGAAAGGAGGAGGAUAAAGGAUUGGAGGGAAGAGGGAAGGAAGCCUCUCAGGGACCAGCAGUAACUCUGAUGGAUGGCUGGUGUGUGUAAGACGUUAUUAUUUGUUAUGUGAGUGUAGGGAGAUGGCAGCCGAGCUGAGCAAUACACCUGCUGGGCUCCAAGAAGCCAAAACAGCUGCACACAUUGAUUUAGAAGCUUGCUACUUGGGGCUCCAGGAACGAAUCAAGCGACAGCUCGUAAAAAAAGAGGGUUUUAUGAUUUUCCCCCCUCUUCUGCAAGCAAAUGGCCACAUCAUAUGUUUUCCUAACACGGUCAUAACUCAAAAUUAAAUCCCAGCCCAAGGUGUCAGCCUGGUGCCAUGUCAGGAUUGUAACGGCUUGUUUUAGAGGUCGCCAUGGAGAUGGUGGAGAAAGGAUGGGGGGUAGGUCUUGGGAGGUGGGAAAGGGUACAAAGUGCUCUUUGCCUCAGUGUGGCUUAGGCACUUAAGGACAAUUAGCGUAGGGUUUUGUUUUGUUUUAAAAAAGUGAGUUAACAGUGUUUAGUUGAUGAUUUUAUGCUACUUAGAACCUCAAUUCAUAGUGUUAAAAUGGAAAGGCACUGUCCCACAAAGGAGCUACUCCAGCCAAAGUGAGUCCGAGUGAGUUGUUGUGGCACAUGCACUGCCAAGAUAGAACUCUCAGCGGCACUUCAUGCCCCUCACACUCCAAAUCUGGCUGUUGAUUACGCAAAAUGGAAUGGAGUCAAGAUACUUUUGGUAAAUGCUGAAUGAAAGUGCUUGGUCAUAAAGAAGAGUGAAAUCCUUUAAAAGGGCUUUCAGAUUUCUUCAAAGUUAUAGGCUGAAUGUGCAGGGCCAAGGUGGUAUGGGACCCAGUGAUGUCAGACCUCUCCAUGCAGUGCUCACCCCAAAGAUGACAACAGUCUGUCGGACUGUCAGAUAAGCAUGUAUGGAUAGAUGUCAUGGAUUUCACUCAUUUAUCAAGUAGUUAGCAUUAGACACCUUAAAACUGCAUAAUGAAUAUUCCACAAAUGAACAAAUGCACACAAGGAUAAGUGAAUGAAAAAGAUGAAUUUAUGCCUCAUGACUAAUAGCUCUGUAACAGCACAAUCACAGUAAAGAGAUACAAAUAAUGAUGUUUUUCCAAAGCCCAAAUCUGUGUAAUCCCCAAGGCUCAGACAUGAGCAAAGGCUCGGCUCUUACAUCAGCGAAGGCUCUUACCUUGCUGUGCAGAGAAGUCAUCUGUCGAUCUGCUCUCUAUCAUCACUUGGAUGUCAGCACAUUUCCAGACCACUCUCUCUCCUGAAUUCUCAUUCUGCAUCUCCAGCUGCCUAUAGUACAUUUCACUUAAAUCCAUAGUUUUUCUACUAAUUUAUUCUCUCUUGUCUUCCCUAAUUUUUUAUCUUGAUUUUCUGCUUUUUAUUAUGGCAUCAUAUUAGUCUUGGUCAUUGAUGUUCAAAAUAUCAGAUAUAAUUUCUGUUUCCUUUCUAGAUUCAGACAGACAUCCCACACUCUCCUUCCUUCUUUCACAAUGUCCCUCAAAUCUACAAUGUCCUUCUUACUUCUGCUCUCAUUUCCUAGCUCAGUACCAUAUUAUGUCAUGUGUCAGCUGCAGCCACUGCUUCUAUUCAAUCUCUUUUCCUUUAGUCUCUAAGAUCCCUUUCCAUCCAGCACUUACAACACACCUAGCACUUUGCUGCCAGGAUAAAUUUCCCCAAUUAUGACAUGCUUCCAAUCACUCCCUCAAUUUCCCAUGGAAUAAAAUUCAAAUAUUUUUAUCUGGCCUUUAAGGAACCAUCUUGCCUUUAUUGAUCCAUUUUCUACUGAUAACAGGUAUAAAUAUUCUGUACUAGCAAAAAUAACAUUAAAAUAAUAAAUAAAAUUAUAAAAUGGGUGUAUCCAUCACUGUACAUUUUACAUGCAUUUUUUCCCUCAGUAUUCCACAUAUGUGAAAUAUGUGAAAAUAUUUUAUUUUCACAGUAAUAUGAGGCAGGUUCUGUUAUUAUAUCCUUUUCAGAUGAUAAAAUUGAAGCACAAAGGAGCUAUGUAUCUUGCUCAAGAUUACCAAUGGGAGAGGUGGAACCUGACCUAUGCAAGUAGAUUCAGAGCCCACAGGUCUCAGAAACCACACCAUUACCUCGUUACAACAGCUUACUCUGCCUCCUACAGACAGCUUUGCUCCACCACCUCACUGCCUUUGCUUGACUACUUCCCUUUUCCAGACUGCCUUCUUGCCUCCUCUCAACAUAAUUUCAAACAUUUUGAAGUUCUACUCAAAUGUUUACUCCCCCACAGAAUACAUGUGCCCCCAAAGAAUUCUCUUUCCUAAGAAUUGGUGCAGCCCACUGUCUCUAUCAUUUACUAACAUUCAUGCCUUGUCAGACUGUCAAUGUCUUAUUCUUCUCUGGAAUCACCUCACUACCUGGCCUGGUAACAUCUACCAGUUCUUGCUCAAUAAAUACCUAAUUGGCAGAAUGAAAAACUCCAAAAUGAACUACAUACCAGGGUCACUUUUUAUACCUUAUUCUUUGUCCUCUCUUUUGGUAUUAAAACUUGCUUUUAUAUCACGUCACUCUUUUAAAAAAUAAUUUUUAACCUUCUUUGGGCUGUGGUUUGAACACUUAAAACUACUGAUACUCUCCUUUUUCCUAAAAGAUAUUCUCCUUUUUACUAAACUCCUAGGAAGUGUUGGGCAGGUGAACAGGAAUGUGUUGGGUUUAAUGGUGGAGUAGAUAACAUGAGACUUUGAGGCCAUUCAGCAGUACAUUUCUUCCUCUGGUAGCCUUUCAAGAUGGCAGACUAUCUCCCGCUUCCUCUGUUAGUCUUGAAUCUCCCUGCUCAGUGCUUUUCCUAGAGUGGCCUCCUUGGCAAUGCUCCAAGGAGGAAACUUAACCUCAGCCUUUCCCAGGUCAAUGUCCCUCAGUUAUAAUACAUUCAUUCCCUUGGGAGACUUCUUGGCUACUGCACCUGUAAGAAAACAAUCAAAUAAGUACUUAGGUUUUCUCUCUUCAAUGAAUACCAAGAAAUUUGUUUGUGUCCAUCUUUUAGCCCAAAGGAAUGAAUUUCAAGUGGUGUGACAUUUCAGGCUUUAUAGGGGAAGGGCAAUUAGGGAGUUGUGUGUGUAGCAGGGAGGACAUUCCUGCAUCCUUGAAUCAUAACUCUUCUGCUACAUGAAAGACUACCCCUUAAAAUGAGCAUUCAUGUCUUGACACCUCAGGCAAAUAUAUAAUACAAAUAUGAGAGUUUCCAGAAUCCAAAAUAUCAAUACAAACACUUUGUAAACUAUUAAGUGCUUCCCCUACAGAAUAGGUGCGUCUAGUACAUACUAGUAUAUGUAGUAUUUCAAAGAGAUUAUCUAGAACAUGAAUCAUAUGUGUAUGAAGUAGGAAAGUACAUCUCAGGAAAGCUGGGGAGCAUACUGGAUUCUAGCAAUUGUAGGAAAGGAAAAGAGUUUGUCAAUCCUUAUCAUAAUGUACCUAAUCACAGACAAUCCUUUGUUAAGAUGGUAAUAUUCCUGGGAGACAUGACAUACUACACCACUGUAAGUCUGAGAAAUUAUGACUUUAUCAAAAAUGAGGAUGCAAAUUAGCUAGCUCUCAGAUCACUGAGGGAUUAAGCAUGAAAUGGGAAAGUUUUGUUAAGAAUUGGAGGAAAUGGAAUAGUAGGUUUGUCUGCCUAGGGUGUGGCCAGGAAAGCCUGGGUCUAGGAGAGCACAGUGUAUGGUGGGCAGGAAUCAGAACAGUAAAGGAA